rnacentral:lncRNA from 1 species
AUGUAUGUCACUUCUUUUUCUACACUUGUCAAACAUACAACUCCAUUUUCGUUGUACAUUCCUCAUGCUGAAGGACUCAUGACUUCGUGGAGCUGAUUUUCUUCCUGUUCCUUUUGACAUAGGAUCACAUAUUCACUACUUGACCUAAUUGAGAUAUGUCUUUCAAUUGAUGACCAAGUGAUUCUCAAAAUUUUCAAAAUAAUAGCCUUAAUUUUCAAAGAAGGUUUCAACUUGAUCACCAAAUGCCCCAGCACUCUAUCUAUUUCCUCAAAUGCUCUCUUUUUUUAACUUUAACCCUCUGAUUCAAUGUUCAUUCUUAAACUGGAUGUUAAGAUAUAGCUGUAA